rnacentral:rRNA from 1 species
GACGAACCGUGCGAACGUUGUUCGGAAUCACUGGGCUUAAAGGGCGCGUAGGCUGCCUGCUUAGUCGGGGGUGAAAUCUUUCGGCUUAACCGGAAAAUUGCCUUCGAUACUGGCAGGCUCGAGCGAGGUAGGGGCGGAUGGAACUUCCGGUGGAGCGGUGAAAUGUGUUGAUAUCGGAAGGAACGCCGGUGGCGAAAGCGAUCCGCUGGACCUCUUCUGACGCUGAGGCGCGAAAGCCAGGGGAGCAAACGGG